GACGAACGCUGGCGGCGUGCCUAAUACAUGCAAGUCGAGCGAAGUUUUUCUGGUGCUUGCACUAGAAACACUUAGCGGCGACCGGGUGAGUAACACGUAAAGAACCUGCCUCAUAGACUGGGACAACUAUUGGAAACGAUAGCUAAUACCGGAUAACAGCAUUAACUGCAUGGUUGAUGUUUAAAAGUUGGUUUUGCUAACACUAUGAGAUGGCUUUGCGGUGCAUUAGCUAGUUGGUGGGGUAAAGGCCUACCAAGGCGACGAUGCAUAGCCGACCUGAGAGGGUGAUCGGCCACACUGGGACUGAGACACGGCCCAGACUCCUACGGGAGGCAGCAGUAGGGAAUCUUCCGCAAUGGGCGAAAGCCUGACGGAGCAACGCCGCGUGAGUGAAGAAGGAUUUCGGUUCGUAAAGCUCUGUUGUUAGGGAAGAAUGAUUGUGUAGUAACUAUACACAGUAGAGACGGUACCUAACCAGAAAGCCACGGCUAACUACGUG
rnacentral:rRNA from 1 species